CAGGAUUGUACAUCUCCUCAGUAGUUAACCAGAAUUAUUUCCUCUUUUUUACAUCAUCAUUAAAUGGCCAAUAAAGUCACACCACAGGGACUAGCUGAUUUUAGUGAAAUAAUAACAUUUAUUUUAUCUAUUGACCUUGUUUUGAUAAAAGCAUUGGACCAGAAUAUUUUCAGAUGAGAAAAGUGCAUUCAAAAUUAAAGAAAAGCGAGACAGAGUAUCAGCAAACAGUGUCAGCAAUCAAAGAAAUAAAUAUAUAUCCAUUAAUAGCACAAACUUUACCUUUGCUGUAUUUAUGAAGAGCUUUUAUUGUUUGAAUUACCCAACGGCAGAUGUAGAUCGCUGCAUGCAGGAUAUGUGUGGCAUUAUUCUUUUUAAUUAGGAGGCUGAUGUUUAUAAGCCCCAAACAGUAACUCUAGAUAAUAGUUCAUUCAUGUCCAGUUAAUCAAAAUCCUGUUGGCAGAUAAUGGCUGCCAGGGGCUAAAGCUGGUUUGGAAAAAUUUAAUUAGCAAAGCCAUGAAUUUCCACUCAAAAAAUUAUUGCUCAAGGGUGAAGAAGGGCUUAACACAACAUUAAGUUUGUGGUUGAUUUGUUUAAAAGUGUAAAAUGUCUUCUUUCAAUUAGAUUCAACUGUAUGUCUAUAUUUUUAAAUAUACACAGCUCUCUCUAUGCUUGUUGUUUUUUCAAUAUUUCAUGGCUGAAAUAUUGAACCUUUUGCACAGCCUAAAACAUCUUGAUUUGGAGUAAUAGAUGACCACAGACAACACAUCACAAAGGGCUAAACAAACAAGUAAGGAUGAAGACAAAGUAAUUAUGACAACAUCCAAGACAACAGCUCAAAUAACUCAAUGGCAACAAUAAAGCAAACAAAGUCAAAUAAAAAAACAGGACAGAAAAUAUACUCCAAGGUAAUUGAAAUCAUAGUUAUUACUUGGUGGCUGGUGAUAAGAAGAUAUUGCAUCAUUAGAACUGGCUGACAAUCUACCAAAGCAGCAAAAUUACAACAUUGUUUAAAUUCAGACACAUUCUGAAAUUGUUAAUAGUGUAAAUUAUUUAGGGAAACAAAAGGAUAAAUGUUAAGUGAAUGUAUGUUCAAUGUUUUUGUUUUUUUUCUUUUGUAGACUUUCACAGUUUAUGGGAAUUUGUUUUGUUUGUUUGUUUUUUUUUUUCAAAUAAACUCAACAGCCUUUGGCAGCUUUGAAACUGGCCUAUUGCAUAUGUUUGAAAUGUACCAUUUUCAAACUUAGAAGUGAAAUGAAGCUGACAAUAUGCCAGUCCUGUGUUGCUUUGUUUUUGUAAAAAUCUUUCUGGACACAAUGUAGUGACACAGUGUUCUACAGAAUUAGGAUUUUGCCCAACACUUUUCAUUUUGUCUACAGCUGAUUAUUGAUCUUGCAUAGGUGCAUUACUUCUGUUUUACUUUACCUGAAUGUUGUUGAUGAUCUCUUUUAAAAUUAAAUAAAUAUUUUGGAUGAGGCAAAAAAGUUUUAAAUACAUUAAUGUGUUUAUUAAUUUAGGGCUAUACUUGACAAAAGUUGUCAAAAACCUAUGCAAACUUCAAACUAUUGAAGAUAGCUAGCUAGAUAGAUAGAUAGAUGUUCUUACUAUGCCUUGUCAAUUAUAACACUAUUUCAUUUAAAAUCCAAAGUCAUCAUUUGAUUAACAAUUUGUUACAUUAUAAAAACAAUACAUUCAUUUAUAAUAUCAUGCUCCUUCCAGGACCAAUAUUGAUAGAGAAAAAUAUUAUACUAGAGCAUCUUUAAAAACAUUAUUCAAACCUGGCAAUCUGGCAACAUUUGAGGACUUUCCACAGUGUGUCUGGCACCAUAUGUUUUAUUUUAGAAUAUGUCUCUGUACAACUAUUAAAAUGCAGACUGUCAUUGUCUUUUUUUAGAAUAAGAAUCAGAAGAAUUAGAAUCAGCAUUAUUGGGCAAGAUUGUGUGCACAUACAAAGCAUUUGACUUUAGUUUCAAGCCCUCACAGGAUACAGACAUUAAGUAUAUAACACUCAUCCCCAUUACAGCGUGGAAGGACAGGUUUGUUUAGUUAGUCAUUUUGUUCAGGCUCCUCCAAACUGCUGCUGGGUUUUUAUCUGAGAAGUUGCCUUUUAGCUUCUCUUAGCUGCCAUUAUUUAACUUGUUUCUUGCUUGCUUACACAGGGAAUGGUCUCCACUGCUGUAAGCCUCUUCUUUGGUCCAACACAGCUUCCUCAAAUGUGAAGUGAACCCUGGUUUAUUGUUGUAUGUGUGAAAGGCACACACAUGCUCACAAAAAAAAGCUCCAAAAACAUCCCAAUCUGUGCAGUCAAAGCAGGGCUGUGACUCUGCCUGUAGGUUGAAAUGAGAUGAAGCAGACAGUGAUCAGAGAGUCCUAAUGCUGUCCAGUGAACUGCACGCGAGCUGUUUUUCAGCCUCUAAUGUGCAGGGUUGUGGUAGGAUGUAAACACUGGCGGAAACAAAUGAGGCAAACUACCUCUGUGAAAAAAAGGGUUUACUAUUUAUAAAAAAAUGACUCCAGAGAACUCCAUACCUGGUCCACUUGAAACAGCUGGAAGCCUGACAUCGGAAGUCGCUGUUUGGGAUGUUUUCAUUGAGACGGCUUUUGUUGAAGCAGAGGGCAGCAGAUACAAGAAUGUCUGAGUUUCUUGUGCUGAGAAAGAGCAACUUUUUCGCCAGGGAGCUGAGUGCGCAGUCCCUGCCGGCAGAGACUGACGAGUGUACUUGUGCAUUUCCCUCAUAUCUGGUAAAUCCCACACAGAGCUGCCGAGCUUCCAACCAGGAUCUCAGAAAAACUAUUUGGAUCGAUGAAAACUGGAAAAAAAACCUGCUCAGAAAGGACUGCCUGGUACUUAGCAGUUAUAGACGCUGGUGAAAGUGACCGUAGCAUAGCAGCAACAUACAGUGCAAAUACAAAUUAAAAAAACGAGUACAACCAAGCAUAGAACCAAGGCAAGCCAUCCGCAGCGCCAUCUUGAAAAAAAAAAAAAAAUAAUUAUUUGAGAAAUAGGAAGCGUUUAAAACUGCAGUCACAUCUAAACAAAGGGAGUAGGUACAAUAAAAUGAUCAUAUAGAACCAUUUGGUGCUGUUUACACUGUUUCCCUUUUUUCCUAACUGUUUUUAUAACAAGAUGGAAAAUAAUUAUUGUGAACACUCUUUCACUUGGUUGUACAAGAGAAAAAAAUACGUUUUGAAUUCAGAUCCAUGUUUACUCCAAGCUCCCUUUUGGAUAGACAAAUGGAACCAUAGCUCAAGCAAGGCCUAAUGCACCAUAGAGAGGGCAUUAGAAACACAUAUCCUGUUUUAUUAAUGCAGUCAAUACAGUCCAUUAGGCCAUAGAUUUAAAAGCCACAGAGCUCUUCCACCUCCAUUAAUACUUUCCUUUGACCUAUGGCAUUGUUUUUAAAUAGAGCAAGCUGCUUUCUGUAUCUAACACGUGGGACUGUUAAAAUAUUUGCUUUUAAUAUUUUGUCACGGAAUAUUUUAGAAGUCACAGCUCAUGAUGUCUAGGUGCAUGGUUGGACCACCUAAGGAUCUGAAUGACAACUUCCAGGCAAGAAGCAGAUGAAUAAGAAAAUUAAGGAUUUCUAUUUAAAUAGCUAAAAAAAGUGCUACAGCAGAAGAAACAUAGAAACAAAACACAGAUUAGUUUGUGUCAGCACAAAACUUAAUAGAGAGGCAAUCCAAGUCAACACAAGACCUUGACAAAGAGCACCUGAAAAGGUGGGACUGAACACACUAAGGGCCUUAUCUUCAGUUUGCAGCUUAUCUACGGUUUUGCAUGUAUAAAAGCAUGUGCAAACUGAACUUCAUGCAAAAAGCUGAUCUAUAAACCAGGUGCAAAUCAAAUUAUGUUUGUAAAGUCAGCGGAACAGCAGGCCGAAACAUUUUAGCGUGUUUGCCUUCAUGAAUAUGCAAAACAUAUGCUGCUCAUCAGAAUACGCAAAUGUAUGGCAAGAUUAUAUGUAAAUGUAAUUCCUUACCACCCACAAUGAGAUUUAUCAAUCCUGACAAGAAUUACGGGUGCAGUUUCUGCUUCUAUUUUAGCAUGUUUGAAAGGCAGGUGCAAACUGGCACACAAAAAUGUCUGCAGUCAUUGUGGGGAGAAGGAGGCAUAGGUGUAAAGACAUGAUAGAGAGAUCCUUCUGUCUCCUAUCUUGUCAACAUAUUUUCACUAUCAGAAAUAAAAACAGUAGGGAUAUCAUCAGUCCGGUAAUGCUAUUUUGGAGUUGCAGCAUUACAAUUCCAGCACACCAUCACUUUAUGGGAUUACACCGUUAUGUGUGAAUGGCACAGAUUAUGGUUGUAUGCUGCAUGUUUGCAGUGGGACUGCAGACAAUCUUUAUGCAAUCCACACAAAAAACAUGCGUCUGAACCUAAAUAUCAUGGCAUGUUUCUAAAAUAAAUCUGAACAUCAACUGCCACUAGAGACCUGAAAAAGGGACAUUGAAGGAAAAAUGAAUAAAACAAAAACUGUCCUGGGCACUCCUGAAAGUGUGCACUCCUAUCUUGUUUCCAAGAGAGAUGUUUAUUCAUUUUUCCCUCCUCAACAGUCCUUCACAGACUCCAUACGAAGCGUAUUUAUGUUGAAUUCAAUUAAUGUGUUAUUAUCGGCCUACAUUGGUUUGGAUUGGGUCAAGCAAGUCAUUCCAACAAUCUGCUUGUCACAAAAUGAAAGUUGAUGGCUUUCACAGGCUGGGUGUGUGUAUGAGCACAUGUGAAAGUCAUCGUUUCCAGGUUUUCAAAAAGUUUCUUAUAUUGUUAUGUACCAGACAUAAGACAUUUAAAAAAAUUAUUUUUAAAAAUACAGAUGAUGGGAAUGAUAAUCAGGAAACCUCUACUAGAACACACCAGAAAUUCUGGAAAGGGAUGGAACAGGUUAGUGGCUAUUAAAGAGUCAGAAAAUCAGAUAAGGCUCAGAAAGAAAGUCAUCAACCUUCGCAGGAUCAGAAUGGGAACGUUGAUCCAUAUGAUAGGGUCCUUCAGACUGGUGUCCAUUUCCAAACAGCCACUCUUAGAUGUGCACACACUGAAACUCCUCUUGAUUCUCCUGAGAGGGAGCGGAGAGUGACAAGUGAGGAUGAUGAUGUCACAACAGGUAACUUUGAAGCAGAGCUUGGCUGUAUCUUUAAUCGUCUCACUGCUGGCUGGCAAUCCGUCAGAACUCAAUCCAAAAUCAAGCAGGCAAAAUGAGAGACAGGAAGGGGUCAUACAGAAAUAGGCAGAGAUCAGCUUAUUUGUCCAAGGGCUAGGCAAAACUCUGAGGGCGGGGCACAGAAACAAGGUUGUUGUCCAGAGAUCAGAAGCUUGGUAGAAGUCAGACAAGGCAAGUCAGUCAUCCACAACACACCCUCUUGGUGCAUCCACUCCUUAUUUGGAAUCUUUAAAGAUCAGGCCCUUAGAUAUCUGAAAACUAACAAGGGGCAAGCUGUGGCAAUUAGCGGGUGAAAUCAUGGAGCAGAGAGCAAAACCAAACAAGACGAGAGGCAAAUACAAAGGUUUUAAAGAAGCAUAUGCAAAAAACAAAACAACAAGAAAAAAUUAGCAAAGCAAAAAAAAAACAAAAACAGACACCACAAAAAAAUAGGUUUUCCGCUGUGCUGGGUACAUUUCUUCUAUUGAUUUGACUUAUGGCUCUUCAAAGGGAACCGAUAAUGUACACAUUUGAAAGAACAAUCCAUUUUAUCCCUAAUAUAGUGUUAAAUAUAAUCAUUUAGAAGCAAGGAGCACUCCUCCUCUCACCUGCUGCAUGCAGCGUCGCAGGCAGGUCACACACAGUGUAACACAGGUGUCUGCCGCCAUGACACAUGAUAAAACAGUGACCAAUAAGCAUGUGCUCUGUGUGCUCAUACCAACCCCUCCUUUCUCUUUCUGUAUUCAGUUGCCUAAGGAAUAAAUGUGAUAUAAUUUAAAAUGAAAUGAUGUUGAAAAAGUAGAAAAUGCAGUCCGUGCAGAGGAUUAGAAGCAUGUAAAGUAGUAAAAAACGAAGAAUGGCUCUCAGUAGCUGAGACACAAGUCCCACCAUUCAAGGUAAAGAGCUGCUCAAAACAAUCAAUCAUUCAUUAAUGCCACAUCACUAGUCUACUGACCCAUGAUCCUGUUAUGUGUUAUCAUUUUGAGAAAUUAAUUUUGUUAAGACAUCAGGGUUAUUGGUACAGUGUUAAUGUUUUUGAAGAAAUUUGUUUUUUUAUGUAUUUAAAGAGCGAGACUUAGGCAAACUUAACUCUUCGAGAUUUGUAAUGUCCAGAGGUUUGGUGAUGAGGGGACAGGAUCAUGAUUAUGAUGACAGAUAAUACCUCACUCUCUACAACUCAAACCAGCGUAAAUGUCUUUUGAAUUUUGCAUAAAAGAAACCAUUCCUUUACAGGAUUUAACUGAACUGAGGAAUGAAUAUAACAUUUCAUUCUGUCUUAUCUUUGAGGAUUAGUAUAGCAAAAUGAGAGAUAGAGAGCAUAUGAAUAGACCACUAGUUACAUGUCUUGAAGUUCAACUGUCUAGUGCCAUAGUUAAAGAAAGAACCUUAACACAUUUUACAACUGUUCUGUAAUAGCAUGAUGAGUUAUUGAUUUUACAAUUAAGCUUUUAUUAUUAGGUAAUACAAUGUAUUAACUGCAUAAACAAUGGAAAGCUGCACUGAAUAAGUUCCAUUAAUUUACUUUUAAGGAUCUUUCCACAAUGUAGAAACGGAGCAAAAACAGGCAAUAAUAAAACAUAAAAUAUAAGUAGACAAAACAGUUCUGUAAUUGUGUAGUAAUUGUGUUGCCAUGAUAUAAAACAUUCCUAAAUUAACGAUCUUAAACUAGUAAAAUGGUGACAUGUGGUAACAACCUAAAAAUCAUAGGGUAAUAUAUAAUAAUGUAUUCAAAAAUAUGCAUUGCAAUUUGCUUUUCCUAUAUGUUGCUUGAAAAAGCUGCAAUUCGUUCCUUAUAUUCACAAAGCUAUCCAUUUCAGAGUAAUGUUGUUACAAUUGGAUUUAUUGAUUUAUCUGGAAACACUUGAGGCAGUUUUCAUCAAGAAAAACAUGAAACAGGUGACUGUGUCAAGUUACAGUUUUGUUUCAUCCCAGUACUACUGACCCAACAUUUAGAGGCAAAAUGAUUACCAGAAAGUAUGUCUAAGUGUCUGUGUCCAUGUAACAUGCAAGA